UACGGAGGGUGCAAGCGUUGUCCGGAAUACUGGGCGUAAAGCGUGCGCAGGCGGUUUUGUAAGUCUGUCGUGAAAUCCCCGGGCUCAACCUGGGAAUUGCGAUGGAGACUGCAAGGCUAGAAUCUGGCAGAGGGGGGUAGAAUUCCACGUGUGAGCAGUGAAAUGCGUAGAGAUGUGGAGGAACACCGAUGGCGAAGGCAGCCCCCUGGGUCAAGAUUGACGCUCAUGCACGAAAGCGUGGGGAGCAAACAGG
rnacentral:rRNA from 1 species